rnacentral:lncRNA from 1 species
AAGUCGGAGUUAUUUCCAUAGUUUGAAUACAGGGUGUUUUAAAAUCUUCUGCGAGCAUGAAUUUUGCGGUUCAUCAUUCAUAUCUCUAGAGUGAUAACUGAAGAUGAAAUCGACUUCCUGUCUAAAUCUUCACGUUUUCUUUAUUGGGAGCAAUUUGAACACAUUAAACCUCUUUGAAUUCUCUGUUGCGUUAUUUAUGUAAAACAAAUCCCUGAUUUUUCUGCAAAAAAGCAGGAAAGAAAUUAGGUACUUCAAAGGGAUUAAAAAGAAGGUUGAGCGGAAUUUUCAAGUUUUCAUAAACGGAUUUUUUUUCUUUGGUUGUUUAUUCGCAUUUCUGCCCUCGUUGACACCUUAAAUUGCCCCACUUCUGUCGUCGUGCUGUAGAUAUACUGGGGGAAAAAAUUGAGUAGGUAUUCGUGCAUUUAAAAAUGUUCAUGUUUCUUUGAAUCAUACUGUACUACAACCAUAACAUCAAAAAAUGACACCACGAUAACAGUUCCAAGAGAUGAUUUACUUGUAGAAUAAAAUGAAAAAAGACUGAUUAUGACUGACCUACCCUUGACUUGUGAUUGCUUAUCGCUUUUCACCUUCUCUCUACGAAGUUUUCUCCACGAAAACAAGUGAUUGGCCGUUUGAGAAAUUCCCAGUCGGAGCCAAACUGGUUGGCUCAUCCUCCUCUACAUUUCUCGUCAUUGAGCCUUUUAUCAGCUGCAAUUUUACGCCGGAACCGAAAUUUACCUUGUCAGUCAAGGGCAGGAGUGCUUAUAAAGUUUAAAAAAUUUUAUUACCGCUAGUAUUAGUGUUGUGAAAGUGAUCGGCUCCUAUGUUGUGAUUUGUUCUUCCUUCAAUCGGCUCUCAUUCUACUGCUGGAAGAAUGAAACCUGUGACAGUGCUGUUGUCAGCACUAUGCAUGACAGUUCUUGUCAUCUCUGCCAGGGGAGCGGCGCUCUACCCUCAGCAAGAGGAGUGCGACGAAGAUAAUCAACAGCGAACGGUGAACAACGAAGACUUUAUAAGGAAUGCCGGAUACAGAAGCAGCCAGAACACACUUCAUCUAGGACCAGACGGUAGCAAAUUUAGAGAACACUACGAAAAGCUGAAGCAAAAAGCUGACCAAUUUGUUAGCUCAUCUGGCAACAUUCCACAAGAUCUGCGAGUGGAUUUGAACGGAGGAGCUUUCAACAAACUGGAGGCAGGGUCUCAAACGAGCAGCUCGAGUUUCCACUCUUCAGGGGUGAACGCCGGAUCCGCACCCCGGUGGCAACCAACUUCUACAACAAUGACGGUAGUUUGCUGCACACGGUGGAAGGUCUCAAAGCCCACGGCCAAGGAGUCCAGUUCACGGCGACCGGCGGAAUCUUACCCCUGAAGAACUACCAAGAGGGGCAGGUCUUCUCGCAUAACGGCGGCGGAUACGGAGGCUCCUUCGAGAAACACUCCUCCAGUCACUCGGAGCACUCCAGGACCUCCAACAGCGGCCUGCCGAUCACGUUCACCCCGUACGAGAAGCACCACCAAAGCUCCAGCAUCAACGUCCAGGAAACCGUCAAGAGGCGCAACUACACCGACUACCUGGAGCCGGAGCUGAUCUCACAGAAAACCUCCACGGUCGUCCAUCCGUUGAACGUGGCGUACGGAGCCCAAAGCGUCGGUACUUACAACCAAGGCUUGAAGACACACGCCAACUACGACCAUAGUAACAGUGGCUCGU